rnacentral:rRNA from 1 species
AUUGAACGCUGGCGGCAUGCCUUACACAUGCAAGUCGAACGGCAGCACGGGUGCUUGCACCUGGUGGCGAGUGGCGAACGGGUGAGUAAUACAUCGGAACAUGUCCUGUAGUGGGGGAUAGCCCGGCGAAAGCCGGAUUAAUACCGCAUACGAUCUACGGAUGAAAGCGGGGGACCUUCUGGCCUCGCGCUAUAGGGUUGGCCGAUGGCUGAUUAGCUCGUUGGUGGGGUAAAGGCCUACCAAGGCGACGAUCAGUAGCUGGUCUGAGAGGACGACCAGCCACACUGGGACUGAGACACGGCCCAGACUCCUACGGGAGGCAGCAGUGGGGAAUUUUGGACAAUGGGCGAAAGCCUGAUCCAGCAAUGCCGCGUGUGUGAAGAAGGCCUUCGGGUUGUAAAGCACUGUUGUCCGGGAAGAAAUACUUGGCACUAAUACGGUCGGGGGAUGACGGUACCGGAAGAAUAAGCACCGGCUAACUACGUG